rnacentral:rRNA from 1 species
AUCUACCUAGUAGUAUGGGAUAGCCACUAGAAAUGGUGGGUAAUACUGUAUAAUCCCUGCGGGGGAAAGAUUUAUCGCUAUUAGAUGAGCCUAUGUUAGAUUAGCUAGUUGGUAGGGUAAAGGCCUACCAAGGCAGUGAUCUAUAGCUGGUCUGAGAGGAUGAUCAGCCACACUGGAACUGAGAUACGGUCCAGACUCCUACGGGAGGCAGCAGUGGGGAAUAUUGGACAAUGGGCGCAAGCCUGAUCCAGCUAUGCCGCGUGAGUGAGGAAGGCCUUAGGGUUGUAAAACUCUUUCAGUGGGGAAGAUAAUGACGGUACCCACAGAAAAAGUCCCGGCAAACUCGGGAUCCCGACCAUGGAA